rnacentral:rRNA from 1 species
GAUUGAACGCUGGCGGCAUGCCUUACACAUGCAAGUCGAACGGCAGCACGGGUGCUUGCACCUGGUGGCGAGUGGCGAACGGGUGAGUAAUACAUCGGAACAUGUCCUGUAGUGGGGGAUAGCCCGGCGAAAGCCGGAUUAAUACCGCAUACGAUCUACGGAUGAAAGCGGGGGACCUUCGGGCCUCGCGCUAUAGGGUUGGCCGAUAGCUGAUUAGCUAGUUGGUGGGGUAAAGGCCUACCAAGGCGACGAUCAGUAGCUGGUCUGAGAGGACGACCAGCCACACUGGGACUGAGACACGGCCCAGACUCCUACGGGAGGCAGCAGUGGGGAAUUUUGGACAAUGGGCGAAAGCCUGAUCCAGCAAUGCCGCGUGUGUGAAGAAGGCCUUCGGGUUGUAAAGCACUUUUGUCCGGAAAGAAAUCCUUGGCUCUAAUACAGUCGGGGGAUGACGGUACCGGAAGAAUAAGCACCGGCUAACUACGUG